UCCUAGCCCUGAUAGCAGCGGCAUCUCCCGAUUUAGAAAAACAAGGCUUUUAAGCCGUAGUUUUUGUUUAUCGGGAAUAUAGCGGAUAGCAGGAAAUAGC
rnacentral:sRNA from 1 species